UCCAGUGUGGCAUAGUGGUUUGAGUGUUGGAUUAUAACUCUGGAGACCCAAGGUUUGAUUCCCUGCUCUGCUA
rnacentral:tRNA from 1 species